rnacentral:tRNA from 1 species
GGCCAGCGUGGUCUAGUGGUUUGAGUGCUGGACUAUGACUCUGGAGACCAGGGUUCAACUCCCUGCCGGGCCA